CAAUGCAGUGGACUGGUAUCCUAAAUGGAUAUGAACCACCGUGCUUAUCCCUUUCCUUUUUCUGCUUCCUCCUCUCCAGCACCCUGUUGUUUCUGGGCAGGGCAUUAAGGGGCAGAGUAGACAGCCUACAUUUCUGCGGGAAUGGCUGGGUGGGGGUGGGGAUUGCAACAGAAGCAUUGUUCCCGAUGAGGAUCCUGAUUCAAUAGGACCUCUUUUAGGAAUUCUGAGUCUCUUUUCACUGAUGGCUAAAGAGGAAUCAUUGUCAUUCACAGGAUUCUCCUGAAGAAGGGGAAGGCACGCUGGAGAAUCUCAGCAGCCUGGAGGAAGACUCCCUGGACUUCAGUCUCUAAUUAAAAGAGAUGCUUCCCCAGAUGCCUCUCCAGUUGGCAGAUCGGAGAAGGAUGAACCAGUCCCAGGCACAUCAGGAGACGGACGGCGAUGGACGGCGGAAUCCGACCCAGCAGCGAAGACCAGCGAUGAGCCACUUUCCCCCAAGGAACUUUCUGCGUCUUGUUAUUGUUGUUGUUUUUGUAA